rnacentral:rRNA from 1 species
GACGAACGCUGGCGGCGUGCCUAAUACAUGCAAGUAGAACGCUGAAGGAGGAGCUUGCUUCUCUGGAUGAGUUGCGAACGGGUGAGUAACGCGUAGGUAACCUGCCUGGUAGCGGGGGAUAACUAUUGGAAACGAUAGCUAAUACCGCAUAAUAGUAGAUGUUGCAUGACAUUUGCUUAAAAGGUGCAAUUGCAUCACUACCAGAUGGACCUGCGUUGUAUUAGCUAGUUGGUGGGGUAACGGCUCACCAAGGCGACGAUACAUAGCCGACCUGAGAGGGUGAUCGGCCACACUGGGACUGAGACACGGCCCAGACUCCUACGGGAGGCAGCAGUGGGGAAUCUUCGGCAAUGGACGGAAGUCUGACCGAGCAACGCCGCGUGAGUGAAGAAGGUUUUCGGAUCGUAAAGCUCUGUUGUAAGAGAAGAACGAGUGUGAGAGUGGAAAGUUCACACUGUGACGGUAUCUUACCAGAAAGGGACGGCUAACUACGUG